rnacentral:lncRNA from 1 species
UGCAGUCAUUAAUGAUUAGGUGGGGGAGCUGGUGAGUCAUUCAUAGUCUGUGGCAAGUUAAUCAUCAAAAUGAAGACUGAGCAAAGGCUGACUGGGGAGAGGAGUCUAAUGAGGCCAGUUCCAGUCAUUGGGAUGAGCCCACAAGGUGACCUGGAAAGAACCUAGACUUGGGUGUGAGCAAAGUGCCUUCUCCUGGCACAUCCAUCACCAUAACACAACUAGAGCUCCUCCAAACCCCAAUGCGCUAUAGGGCAGGACAAAUCCAGGGUCCUGGGGGGACACUGCCCUGCAGAGUGCCACCAGCACCCACAUGGUGAAGGGGUCUUCCCACAGGACACAGAGGCUGAGUGCAAUGGGCCAGGCGUUGCAGUGAUUGAGCUGAGUGGGGAGGAAGGUGGCACACCUGCUGAANNNNNNNNNNNNNNNNNNNNNNNNNNNNNNNUGGGACUGCCCCAGCCCGACUUCCAUGCUGUCAUCCUGGACUUCAGUCCCGUCAACUUCGUGGACACAGUCUCCAUCAAAAUCCUGAAGAAUGUAAGGGAUCAAGGGUGGUGCAGGUGCAGGACAGCCAAAUGGCAGCUGCUCAUCCCUUUUUCCUGACAUGAUUUUUACCAUUUGCAGAUCUUUAGGGAUUUCCAUGAAAUAGAAGUGGAUGUCUUUGUUGCCAGCUGCCCAGCGUCUGUUCUCGCCCAGCUGGAGCGGGGCAACUUCUUCAGCUCAACCAUCACCAAGCACUGCUUCUUCCCCUCGGUGAAUGACGCCGUGCUCCACAUCGAUGGGGGGAGGCGCCCAGCCCCGGCGAACCUCAGCACCAAAAUGUAGCCCUGCAGAAGAGACAGCGGAGGAGCAGGGCCGUGCUGCCGGGAGGGCUUCACCGCUCCGUGCCCGGGGCCUGGAGCCUCUGUGGGACAGCGCGGGGCGCUUGGAGCCGGCCCGCCCCACGCCUGGG